rnacentral:lncRNA from 1 species
AGACAUUAAUCUUAAGUAUCCAGGGAGCCCUAAAACAUUGUAUCCCACUAGCAAGGACCAUGGUAAUUGCCACGUAAAUCCCCUCCAUUAUGUGGCCCUUAUUAUGACCAGCCAGCCAAGGCUUGCCUUUAAAUCAUACCAAUUGAACCGAGCCUUGUAGAAACACUAUCACCUACGCAUACCUCUGCUUCUUUUCAUUAACCUGCUAUCCUCUUUACAAAUGGGAUUCUUCACCCACUCCCUUCUUCUAGAUUAGCAAUGCCCUGUUAAGUAAACGAACACGAAAUUCAAAGGGAAACAGGAGCAAUCAUCAUUACCAGCUGCCGUGUUAAGCAUUGCGAAAACGCUCACGAUUCACAGAAAAAUCCAUGCUGUUCUUUGAAGGCAUUCAAGCCUUAAUAGCUAGCUGGAUGAAUGUUUAACUUCUAGGCCAGGCACUACUCUGUCCCAACAAUAAGCCCUGUACAUUGGGAAAGGUGCCGAGACAUGAACUUUGGUCUUCUCUGCAAUCCAUCUGGAGCAUUCACUGACAACAUCGACUUUGAAGUUGCACUGACCUGGCCAGCCCUGCCACUUACCAGGCUGUGGCUUGCCUUUUCACUUCUUGUGUCCUGUUUAAGAAAUAUCUGCUAUCCCAAGAUUGCAAACUCCUAGAGAAGGGCUCAACAGUGAGUGCUGAGGCUGCACAGAGGAGGAAGGCAGCACAAUGAUGGAAGGCUUCCUAAAGAGAUAACACUAACAAAGUUGACCUUAGAAUUGGAGUGCCUGGGUUAGAACCCUGCUGGUACCACCUGCUUACUGCAUGCUUCUGAUGUGAGUUCAGGAGAAGACACUGGCAAGGACAGCAAAGAACAGGAGAACACUCUAGCUUCCCUGAUAGCAUUCAAGGUGCUGUCCAAACUGACUGUGAUGGCACCCUCCAGACAGACAGCGAUGCCACAUGUUCAAGAUGGCAGAAUCACUAUCAGCUUCAAUUCCUGAAUGACUGCAGAGCAAAAUUUCUUACCUGCAACAUACACUCUAUUUUCAGCCUCCCUGGACUGUUACAUAAUGAUACAUAAAAAUAUUUCUUGUGUUGAGGCAUCCCAAAUUUGAUUUAUUUGUCAUCACAGUCUAUCCUAUGAAUAUAUUUCUGAUCCAAAUAAUGCUAGAUUCAUGAGAGUUUAUAGUCCAGAGAUUUUUUUUUUUUUUUUGAGACAGAAUCUGUCUCCCAGGCUGGGGUGCAGUGGCAUAAUCUUAGCUCACUGCAACCUCUGCCUCCCGGGCUCAAGUGAUCCUCCCUCCUUAGCCUCCAUGAGUAGCUGGGACCACAGGUGUGCACCACCACACCCCGCUAAUUAUUUUGUAUUUUUUGCAGAGGGGGGUUUCACCACAUUGCCCAAGCUGGUCUCAAACUCCUAGACUUAAGGGAUCUGCCUGCCUUGGCCUCCCAAAAUGCUGAAAUUACACUUGUUAGCCAUAGUAAUAGUUCCUAGCCAUAGUCCGGAGAUAUUUUAAAAACUUUAGUGUGAGUUAUUUCUCUUUGCUAUAAUUCUCUCAUGCAUUUUGAAAACCUUUUCUGCCAUACAGUGGUUUUUGGGAAGUCCUUUUGGACAGACAUAUCACAGGAUGGAGAAACUAAAAAGAGAGAAUGCAUUAAAGAAAAAAUAGUACUUCGUAUUUCAGAAAUUACAAAAGGGUGUCAUGCCCCACAGCAUGGUGGGCAGUCAUUUGUAACCCACAGAACAUUGAGUUUCUAAAAUUUGAGUGUUUUUAACUUACGAAGGCCAACUUUACUGAUGAAGUGAUUACCCCAAAUAUGUGAAAUCCAUAUUUCAAGUACAAUAGUAGGAAAUUGGAAAUGGGCUCUUGAGUUUCUGCUUUCAAGUGACCCUCAGAAAUUCCUCCAUUCACUGCAGAGGUUCUGUUUCUCCUUGCUUUGUUCUGACUUUACGGCAGAACUAAGCUAAUGAGUUAGUUACUAUGGGUUAUCACUUGGAUUUGAAGAACCAUCAUUUCUAGGCAUUGCUGCUCAGAGUGGGUCUGCCCUCAGGGGAAGCUGUCUAACCAGAGCCUAACCCACUAGGGUUUUAUCAGAACCUAACUGACCUGAGGAAAAGAAAUACUCAACUCCAGCAAGCUCCAGCCUUCCAAAUGGAGGAGGAGAAAACCCAACUCCAGCCCACUUCAGCUAUCUUGUCCCACAUAAAGGGGAAGUGGAAGAAACCUGAGAAGCAGGCAUGAAGUUCACAGUCCAGAGUGUAUUCCACACCAUUUCAUAUUCCAUCGCAUUCCAUUCUACACAAUUCCACAUCUCCCCGGCCACAUCAGCCUGAGAGUAAUAAACAGACCUUGCCAUCGUAUCCCCUUUUGGAGACACAAGCCAGGAAGGAAGCUCUUCAGUGCAGCUGUGAAUAGAGAAAUGCUGGCUGAGGUUUUGGAGACACUGGGUGAUCAUUCCCAGUGAAAUUUUUAGAUCCCUGGGGACAUGAGCUGCUUUGUCUUUUCCAAGGCUGAAAAAGUUUUGGAAGCCCUCCUAAGCAGGUGCCAGACCCUUUUUUGGCCAGAGACAGGAUCUUACGCUGUUGCCCAGGCUGGAGUGCAAUAGUGUCAUCAUGGCUCACUGUAGCCUGGAACUGCUGGGCUCAAGGGAUCCUCCCAGCUCAGCCUCCCAAGUAGCUAGGAGUAAAGUCUGGAGAACACUUUUUCUUUUGAGCUGUUUACAACCUUUAGCAAUUGAGUAGAGUGUACUCUUGUCAAUAGAAUUUGAAGCACAUUUCUCUCUCUGCCUGAUUUCUGUAGAAUUUGUAAACUAUUUGUGAAUAUUCUUAAUUUAUGGCAAUAUGGUUGCUUACAUAAGUUCAAUAAUAAUCUGUUUUCUUUUACAAUGAGACACAGUUGGAGGAACUGGUUAUUUUCCCAGGGCUUUGACUGAAAUGGCCUUGUGAAUGGUUCCAGGAAAGCCAAUUUUGGAGACCCUAUGUGGAUGAUGAUGCUUGCUGUACUUUCUGUGGGUAAUCGGGCCAAGUAUAUGGGACUGAAGCUAAUUUUGCAGGUGAGAAAAUGGAGGUCCAGAGAGAAAAGUGACUCACCCAAGCUGAAAACAGUUGCAGGAAGAAAAGCCAGGACAGAACUGGGCUGUUAGAAACCUUGGAGUACACUAAAGAUGAGGAACUGAGUCACCGCAAUGCCAAAUGUAACACGCUGUGGGUCAAAAUUUGGAUGGUUGCGUUGGAAAUUAUUCUGAAGCCACAGACAGGGCUAAAAGAGUCUAGAAUGUCCUACUAGCUGUUGGAACCUGCUGGAGUUCUAAAGGCAUGCGAUGUCCUGAAUGUGCUUGACCAAUGGACACAGCAGGUAUUUGAAGAGUUUUGAUGCUUCCUUUCUGUUUUCAGUGCUAUUUUUUUGCUUUAUUUCUUUUAAAAAACUUUCCCCACAGAGGCUAUUUAUUACACAGCAGCAGCCAGCAUGCACCAAGCAGAACUGCUUUUCAUAAUAAACCUAUUUAUCUUCUGGCAUGUCAGAAAUUUCUCAAAUUGAUACUUAUAAUAAAUAUGAUUAAUAACACAUUGUA